UAGAGAGAGACAUGCGCGCAUAUCAAUAAGCGGAGGAAAAGAAACUAACUAGGAUUCCCUUAGUAACGGCGAGUGAAGCGGGAAGAGCUCAAAUUUGAAAUCUUCAAGGUUCUACCUUGACGAAUUGUAGUUUAUAAGAAGUGUUUUCUGUUAGGUGUAUUGGCUAAAAGUUCUUUGGAAUAGGACAUCAUAGAGGGUGAGAAUCCCGUAUUUGGUACAUUCCUCCUAGCGUUGUGAUACACUUUCAACGAGUCGGAUUGUUUGGGAAUGCAGUCCAAAAUGGGUGGUAAAUUUCAUCUAAAGCUAAAUAUUGGCGAGAGACCGAUAGCGAACAAGUACCGUGAGGGAAAGAUGAAAAGAACUUUGAAAAGAGAGUUAAACAGUACGUGAAAUUGUCAAAAGGGAAGCGUUUGACACCAGUGUUGUUUUUCCGAAAAUCAAUUACGAAUGUUUUAUUUUUGAGGAGUUAUGACUUCAUCGGCUUGCUCCUUUCUUUACUGAAACUUUCUUAAUGCACUUUUCGGUUAACAAGUCAACAUCAAUUUCUUUUGUUGUAAAAGGGUAUGAGGAAGGUGGCUUUCUUUUCGGAGAAAGUGUUUAUAGCCUCUGUGCCUUCUGCAAUCGGAGAGAUUGAGGUCUGCAGCGUAGAUCCUUCGGGGUUAGAUACAUUUGUGCUAAGUUAUAGCUUUUCAUAGACAACUUGUUGACUAUGUUUAGUCUUGUAGCUUACUCGCUUACGCUAUUUUACCUACGCUUAGGAUGUUGAUAGUCACAGCGUGUAC
rnacentral:rRNA from 1 species